GAUAUAUGUUUUACACUCAGUUGGAGAGACAAACAAAAAAAGGGAUGGGGGAUAAACAAAAAUAGAAAAUGAAUACCCCCCAUUAUAGAACAAAUCUAGACAUGAUUACAACAAUGAAUGAGUGUGUUUUUAAUGUACAAAAUCACAUAUGUAGUACCUAAACAGCAGAAAGGGUGGUGGCCCAUUUCCCGAGCUCAUAGGGAUCGGCGUAAUAAUAUAGUUUAACACGGUUAGAUAACGAGAGGCCUGUAGCCAACGGGCCUUGGAAGUCAGAAGAAUCGUCUAGAUCUGCAGGAUCAUCUGCAAAUGAAGCAACGUCUCCAAGUAGUCUAAAUGAGACACGGCGAGCGGUCACUGGUCUAGGAAAAUCGAAGUACAUGGCCGUCCCAGCCCUCACCUCCGAAAGUACCUGUAAAACAGAUACUUGAAGGUAAAGAACUGCUGUAGAUAUAAAUUUAUCUUCCCAAACAACCGAUGAUGACGGUGAAUGGGUAACUCGAGGUCUUAUUGCAUUAAACCCGUCAAGCCGGAACCCUGCCAGCAUUGGUGAAGCUGGAGAUAGGUAUUGUUCCAACACGAGCCCAUCAGCAAUCAACCUCUCGGCCUCAAUCGGUACCUUGAAUCGGUUGAGCGGUGGAGCUCUCUCCAACCAGCUUUUUACGCUACUUUGGUACGAGGUUUGUGUUGGUAUCUCUAAUUUCACUGGACUUCCAACUACAACGAUUCUCUUUGCAUGGAGGCACGGAUCACUAUCUAUAGACACACUCCGGGAGAACGGGUUUUCAUCCAGUGAUAGAAGAUCAAAACCGCUAUCGAAAUUUAAAGAAGAGGUUGAACCGGUUUUCUGGAUACUUAGUUUGAUCCAGAUUAUACGACAACAAACGGGUUUUGGAAAUGAAAAGUUGAUGUGUCGUGGACUCGUGCCACCGGGCUUUUCAGGCCCACUAAGCUCAGGAGAUGAUGUGAUGAGUGAUCCAACGUCCCAUUUUCCCAUUAUUCUUCGUUCUUCAUUGUCUAUCUUAUUGCUUGCCCAUAUUUGCACCUGAGAAUCAGACAUAGAAUAGCCACAUGGACUAAGAACAAGGAUAACACUUGAGACAUUGGAAAGAUUGCCAAGAACGAUAGCAAACUCAGCACGCGAGGUCUUAGGAGGAGCUUUCCAGUAUGACGAUUCUUGUGAUACAGUAUCCAAAGGUGCA
rnacentral:lncRNA from 1 species